rnacentral:rRNA from 1 species
ACACGUAAACAACCUGCCUUCAGGAUGGGGACAACAGACGGAAACGACUGCUAAUACCGAAUAAGUUCCAAGAGCCGCAUGGCCCAUGGAAGAAAAGGUGGCCUCUACCUGUAAGCUAUCGCCUGAAGAGGGGUUUGCGUCUGAUUAGCUGGUUGGAGGGGGUAACGGCCCACCAAGGCGACGAUCAGUAGCCGGUCUGAGAGGAUGAACGGCCACACUGGAACUGAGACACGGUCCAGACUCCUACGGGAGGCAGCAUG